CUCGGACCUUCGCUGUACAGAGAGCACAGUGCGGAAGUCAUUUUAGGAUGAGCAAGCAGGCUCUGAGGAUCACUCCUUGCCUUCAUUCACGGUACACAGACCCUCCACUUUGCAAGAGAUCAUAUAAACCACGCCGCUAACAGUGUCUUGGGAUCCAGGGAACAAGGACAAGUCUUUUGGAGCAUCAUGGAGCCGGACCAGUUCUGGCUUUUGUCAUUCUGUUUCUUGGCCACUCUCCUGCGUGUGGGAGCCAGGUUCUGUGUGCCUCCAAGGGGAAGAUGAUGUCUGAAGACGGGAUGCAUGAGACUGCCAGCCUCAUGCCCCUACCAUCGUGCCGUCUCUGCAAUGAUGUGUCUAUCCUUUCUGGAAGUAUAAACCAAA